rnacentral:rRNA from 1 species
AUUGAACGCUGGCGGCAGGCCUAACACAUGCAAGUCGAACGAGUGGCGGACGGGUGAGUAAUGUCUGGGAAACUGCCUGAUGGAGGGGGAUAACUACUGGAAACGGUAGCUAAUACCGCAUACCAUCAGAUGUGCCCCGAUGGGAUUAGCUAGGUGGUGGGGGAACGGCGCACCAAGGCGACGAUCCCUAGCUGGUCUGAGAGGAUGACCAGCCACACUGGAACUGCGACACGGCCCAGACUCCUACGGGAGGCAGCAGUGGGGAAUAUUGGCCAAUGGGCGCAAGCCUGAUGCAGCAAUGCCGCGGGUAUGAAGAAGGCCUUCGGGUUGUAAAAUUCUUUCAGCGGGGAGGCGGUACCCGCAGAAGAAGCACCGGCUAACUCCGUGCCAGCAGCCGCGGUAAUAC